CCUACGGGAGGCAGCAGUGGGGAAUAUUGCGCAAUGGGGGAAACCCUGACGCAGCAACGCCGCGUGAGUGAAGAAGGCCUUUGGGUUGUAAAGCUCUUUCGGCCGGGAAGAAGGGUGAGGGCGUUAAUAGCACAUUCAUUUGAUGGUACCGGAAGAAGAAGCACCGGCUAACUUCGUGCCAGCAGCCGCGGUAAUACGAAGGGUGCGAGCGUUGUUCGGAAUUACUGGGCGUAAAGGGUUUGUAGGCUGAAAUGUAAGUCAAGUGUGAAAUCCCCGAGCUAAACUUGGGACGUGCAUUUGAAACUGUGUUUCUUGAGUAUCGUAGAGGGUGGUGGAAUUGUAGGUGUAGGAGUGACAUCCGUAGAGAUCUGCAGGAACAUCAGAGGCGAAGGCGACCACCUGGCCGAUUACUGACGCUGAGGAACGAAAGCGUGGGGAGCAAACAGGAUUAGAUACCCUGGUAGUCCACGCCGUAAACGAUGAUAACUAGGUGUUGGAAGAAUUGACCCUUUCAGUACCGUAGCACACGCGCUAAGUUAUCCGCCUGGGGAGUACGGCCGCAAAGGCUAAAAACUCAAAAGAGUAGUACGCGNGNGAGAGCGACGACGACGACGACGGAGGAGAG
rnacentral:rRNA from 1 species